rnacentral:pre_miRNA from 1 species
GGCCCAAAUUUGAAGUAGAGUAGUUAGAAUCGUCAGCUGAUCCUACUGAUCUAUCUACUUCAAGUUUGCGCCC